AUUUUAAUUCCUGCAUUAAUCUUGAAAGAUGAGAUUUAUUUAGAAAUGUGUUUCACACCAGACCAUCAGAAUUAACUGUAAUCUACAAAAGAUUUGCAGUGGCUAAUUUUCAAAAUCUCUGCCUGCGCUGCUCUUGACAUUUGGGCUUGACUUCUUAAAAUUCAAGGUACAACUAAAUUUCAAUCUCCUUUGUAAAACUUUUCCAGGUUGCCCAAGCCAGAAGUAUUCUAGUCCUUCUCCAUAGAUAUUUAUCAAAUGAACAAAAUGAAUGAAUGAAUCAGUACAUGGGCUUAUGUCUUUCCACCCUUCUUUGAGCUUAAACAAUCUGCCAGUUGUAGUCAUAAUGUACUUUGAAAUAAUUGCCUUGAUUACAUGAACAGAAUGAGGAAAAUGAGGUGGAUUAUUAUUUUUUUUAUUUUUUCCAGGUGGUGUGUUCUCAAUGCCUGUGUCUGAAUCAUAUCAUUGAUUUUUCAUUUAUUUUAUCUGAUUCUCACCAUCCAUCUCUAUCAAGAACAAAGGAGGAAAGAUCAAGAAAAGGUCACGGAUAUUUCUGGUUGGGAUCCACUCCUUUGUUGUUGGGUCUGCAUCUGGAAGACAAGACCAUACCCGCGACCCCAAACCUUGACCCAACUCAAGCCCUUCCAGAGGCCAUCUAAGCUCUUCUAAGUGGAGAGAGGGCUCUGGUCCUUGUCAGCCAGUUAGCCGCGCCUUCUGCAUCUGCCAGAAGCGCAUUGCUGAGGUGAGAUCC
rnacentral:lncRNA from 1 species